CCGACAGUGCUUCGAGGCCGUGUCAAUUCGCAAAACUAUUGUCGUAUCAAGCGGAACCUAUCGAGACCAAUCGUUAUAUAGAAGGCCUGAACACUGACCUGCAACGUCACAAUCUGUGGGUAGUUUGGACCACUAGGUCUUUACCACGUCACAGUACCCCAAUUAGAUUUCAAUGCAAAUUCUGUAGCCCCAAAGGAGCUGCUUCAAACAUUAACUUUAAACUGUUCGGUAUCUAGCUCCAAUACAAGUCAAAGUUCACACGUUCAUUUUAUGUACAUACUUCACG
rnacentral:sRNA from 1 species